rnacentral:rRNA from 1 species
UACAGAGGGUGCGAGCGUUAAUCGGAAUUACUGGGCGUAAAGCGCGCGUAGGCGGCUUUGCAAGUCGGGUGUGAAAUCCCCAGGCUUAACCUGGGAACUGCAUUCGAGACUGCAUUGCUAGAGUAUGGGAGAGGGAAGUGGAAUUUCCGGUGUAGCAGUGAAAUGCGUAGAUAUCGGAAGGAACAUCAGUGGCGAAAGCGACUUCCUGGACCAAUACUGACGCUCAUGUGCGAAAGCGUGGGGAGCAAACAGG